rnacentral:rRNA from 1 species
CAGUCGCCGCGGUAACACGUAGGGGGCGAGCGUUGUCCGAAGUUACUGGGCGUAAAGAGCGCGUAGGCUGGUCUUUAAGUGAGUGGUGAAAGGUUCGGGCUCAACCCGGACACUGCCUUUCAUACUGGGGACCUUGAGUGUGGGAGAGGCGAGUGGAAUGGUCGGUGUAGCGGUGAAAUGCGUAGAUAUCGAUCGGAACACCCAUGGCGAAGGCAGCUCGCUGGCCUAACACUGACGCUGAGGUGCGAAAGCGUGGGGAGCAAACAGGAUUAGAUACCCCCGUAGUCCCUGUCUCUUAUAC